ensembl:lncRNA
GUUUCACAUUUAUGUUGGCCCUAAUUGCACAGAGUUAUGGUCUAUUAGAUGGGGUCCAGAAUAGCAGCGCUUGGUAUUUUUGUGAAGUGCCAAGAUGAGAUGGGAAGUGUGGGAAAGAACACUUUUCUUGGUGUUUUUUAUUUCAUGAGGUUUUCUGUGACUUUGGGCCAGACACCAUCUACCCCUGCCCUUUUACUUUGUUUAUUCAUUCCUAUGAUUUAAAUAAUGGAACUCCCAUGUUUUGCCUUUUAGCAGUGCUCUUGUUCUUCAUAGCUGCAGAAGAAGAGUGCCUGGAUUACCAGCCGCUGUCACAAAGGACUUUAUGGACUGUUAUUAUUUUUCUUUUCUUUCUUUCUAUCUUUUAAAAAAAACAAAAAAAACAAUGUCACCUUGAUGGAAUCACAAGAUAGGGCUUCAAGAUUUCUCGGGGAGACACCUUACUGAGUUAUGUUUUGAGCACUUUGAUGUGGUGUGUCGUGUAAGGUGUCAGUUAAAAAUAAGACUUCCAAAUCUUAAAAAAAAAAAGAAGAAAAAAAAGAAAUAUAUUUCCUGACUUCAGGUGCAAAGGGACAAUCUGCAGGCACUCAUUCUCAAAGCAGCAGUCGGAUGAGCUAUACUCCCAAAUGACCAUUAAUGUAGAACAAGAAAUAUCUUCUAAGUUAUGUGCUCUUAUUUUUAGUGAACACAGGCCUGAUUAGCAUACUCUCCCACUGCACGAGUCCCUUUGGUGGUGUUUCGAUGAUUUGCAGGCUGAUACUUUUUCAUAGAUUCAUUGUGGUUUUUCCACUGAUUCAAUAAAACGAGAGUCCAGUCGCUUCUCCAGACUCUUCAGUCUCGCCGUUCUCCAACUCUCGCUCGCUCUUUCUCAGUCCUUCAGACCGCUCAGCUACGGCUCUGCUGCGGUAAUUAACAGCAGUGUUACAUCUGGGGAGAUACUGCGAGCUAUGUCAGAAAAUUAGGCUGUGGAAUAAUGAGGGUUGAGGGACAUGUACUGCUGGUCUGUAGCGGUGCAUUAAAAAUCAAAGGACUUUCACAGCUAAUUGGAGAGGGGUUAAACUGCUUGGCUGCCUCACCUCUGUCCCGAGUUCUCCACCCAAACCC